rnacentral:lncRNA from 1 species
AGGAACUCUUGCUGCUGCUCGCUCUUUGGGUCCACGCUGCCUUUAGGAGCUGUAACACUCACGGCGAAGGUCCGCAGCUUCACUCCUGAGCCAGCGAGACCACGAGCCCACCGGGAGGAAAGAACAACUCCAGACGCGCCGCCUUAAGAGCUGUAACACUCACCGUGAAGGUCCGCAGCUUCACUCCUGAGCCGGCGAGACCACGAACCCACCAGAAGGAAGAAACUCCAAAGACGUUCAAACAUCAGAAGGAACAAACUCCGGACACGCCACCUUUAAGAACUGUAACACUCACCGCGAGGGUCCAUGGCUUCAUUCUUGAAGUCAGUGAGAUCAAGAACACACCAAUUCUGGACCCAGUAUCUCCCCAUACCCUAACUCCUUUCCCAAAGUAGGCAGAAAAACAGCCCUGUUGUUCCGGUGGAAGCCUUAGCUCUGUAUUCCUUUUAGACUGUAUUUCAAAACGCAUUAUUAGAGCCCCAAAGUCACCUGGUGAAAGAAUGUGAGAGCUGGAAGUGGCCUCAAAAUCCAGUUGAACCCUCUUAUUUCAUAUGUUUGGAAACUGAGCACUAGAAAAGAUGACUGCUGGAGCUCCUGCCUACUCCAGGAUGGCAGGAAGAAGGAAGGAAAGAAAAAGGCACACCUCUCCACUUUUAAGUAGCUUUGCUAGAACUCUCACAAAACACUUGUAUUACAUCUCAUCAGACUAUAAAUUCAAAGAAGACCAGGAAAUGUAGCUAUUAUCUGGACAACACUGGCCCAGCUAAAACUCAGAUUUCUGUUCCUACUGGAGAAGAAAAGACUAGAUAUUGGGAGGUAACUGGAAGUUUCUCCUGAGCAGGAUUUAGGUAUUAUACAAAACAACACGUUACUCUCUUGAUAUCUGUUUCCCUCAAUAUUUUAAAGCAAAUCUACUUAAAGCAGAGACCAAGUUUUUAUAGUGAAUGGUAAGGGGGAAGUUUUGAGUGGAAUUUUACCAUGAAAAAUGAUACUAAAAUUGUGAAAGCAUAUUUUAUUUUAUAUUUAAUGUAAUUUAGGUUAUAAUAUCCAUUAUUUAUUAGGGUUUUUUUGCCAAGAAUGAGUUAAGUGCUGAUUAUUUAAUUUAAUGACAUUGAAAUGAGAAUAUAAUAUGAUUUAAUAAUAGGACAUUCUUUGUUUCUUUUUGUCUUUGGCUACGUGAUCAUGGGGAGGAUAUUUGAAAAUGUGCAUCACUUUUACUAAGAGCUUCUCUUAGGCCUUUGGUAUCCACAUCAUUCUCUUAAAUACCUGAUCCUAGCAUCAAAAUUCCAGAUGUUUCACUUCAAAAUUUUCACUGGUCUACUUCUG